UACGUAGGGGGCAAGCGUUGUCCGGAAUCAUUGGGCGUAAAGAGCGUGUAGGCGGCCAGAAAAGUCCGCUGUGAAAACUCGAGGCUCAACUUCGAGCUGUCGGUGGAAACUUUCUGGCUAGAGUCCGGAAGAGGAGAAUGGAAUUCCUGGUGUAGCGGUGAAAUGCGCAGAUAUCAGGAGGAACACCGGUGGCGAAGGCGGUUCUCUGGGCAUGACCUGACGCUGAGGAGCGAAAGUGUGGGGAGCGAACAGG
rnacentral:rRNA from 1 species